rnacentral:piRNA from 1 species
ACAUCUUUCUAGACAUUCAGCUGGCUU